UGAGGAAUUUUCCGCAAUGGGUGAAAGCCUGACGGAGCAAUGCCGCGUGGAGGAAGAAGGCCUUAGGGUUGUAAACUCCUUUUCUCAUUGAAGAAGAUCUGACGGUAUUUGAGGAAUAAGCAUCGGCUAACUUCGUGCCAGCAGCCGCGGUAAUACGAGGGAUGCAAGCGUUAUCCGGAAUUAUUGGGCGUAAAGAGUUUGUAGGUUGUCUAAUGUGUUUAACGUUAAAUAUCAGAGCUUAACUUUGAGAUUGCGUUAAAAACUAUUAGGCUUGAGUAUGGUAGAGGUAAAGGGAAUUCCCAGUGUAGCGGUGAAAUGCGUAGAUAUUGGGAAGAACACCAAUGGCGAAAGCACUUUACUAGGCUAAUACUGACACUGAGAAACGAAAGCUAAGGGAUCA
rnacentral:rRNA from 1 species